GGGUUGUGAGGUUAAGCGACUAAGCGUACACGGUGGAUGCCCUGGCAGUCAGAGGCGAUGAAGGACGUGCUAAUCUGCGAUAAGCGUCGGUAAGGUGAUAUGAACCGUUAUAACCGGCGAUUUCCGAAUGGGGAAACCCAGUGUGUUUCGACACACUAUCAUUAACUGAAUCCAUAGGUUAAUGAGGCGAACCGGGGGAACUGAAACAUCUAAGUACCCCGAGGAAAAGAAAUCAACCGAGAUUCCCCCAGUAGCGGCGAGCGAACGGGGAGGAGCCCAGAGCCUGAAUCAGUGUGUGUGUUAGUGGAAGCGUCUGGAAAGGCGCGCGAUACAGGGUGACAGCCCCGUACACAAAAAUGCACAUAUUGUGAGCUCGAUGAGUAGGGCGGGACACGUGGUAUCCUGUCUGAAUAUGGGGGGACCAUCCUCCAAGGCUAAAUACUCCUGACUGACCGAUAGUGAACCAGUACCGUGAGGGAAAGGCGAAAAGAACCCCGGCGAGGGGAGUGAAAAAGAACCUGAAACCGUGUACGUACAAGCAGUGGGAGCCGCUUCGGCGUGUGACUGCGUACCUUUUGUAUAAUGGGUCAGCGACUUAUAUUCUGUAGCAAGGUUAACCGAAUAGGGGAGCCGAAGGGAAACCGAGUCUUAACUGGGCGUUAAGUUGCAGGGUAUAGACCCGAAACCCGGUGAUCUAGCCAUGGGCAGGUUGAAGGUUGGGUAACACUAACUGGAGGACCGAACCGACUAAUGUUGAAAAAUUAGCGGAUGACUUGUGGCUGGGGGUGAAAGGCCAAUCAAACCGGGAGAUAGCUGGUUCUCCCCGAAAGCUAUUUAGGUAGCGCCUCGUGAAUUCAUCUCCGGGGGUAGAGCACUGUUUCGGCAAGGGGGUCAUCCCGACUUACCAACCCGAUGCAAACUGCGAAUACCGGAGAAUGUUAUCACGGGAGACACACGGCGGGUGCUAACGUCCGUCGUGAAGAGGGAAACAACCCAGACCGCCAGCUAAGGUCCCAAAGUCAUGGUUAAGUGGGAAACGAUGUGGGAAGGCCCAGACAGCCAGGAUGUUGGCUUAGAAGCAGCCAUCAUUUAAAGAAAGCGUAAUAGCUCACUGGUCGAGUCGGCCUGCGCGGAAGAUGUAACGGGGCUAAACCAUGCACCGAAGCUGCGGCAGCGACGCUUAUGCGUUGUUGGGUAGGGGAGCGUUCUGUAAGCCUGUGAAGGUGUGCUGUGAGGCAUGCUGGAGGUAUCAGAAGUGCGAAUGCUGACAUAAGUAACGAUAAAGCGGGUGAAAAGCCCGCUCGCCGGAAGACCAAGGGUUCCUGUCCAACGUUAAUCGGGGCAGGGUGAGUCGACCCCUAAGGCGAGGCCGAAAGGCGUAGUCGAUGGGAAACAGGUUAAUAUUCCUGUACUUGGUGUUACUGCGAAGGGGGGACGGAGAAGGCUAUGUUGGCCGGGCGACGGUUGUCCCGGUUUAAGCGUGUAGGCUGGUUUUCCAGGCAAAUCCGGAAAAUCAAGGCUGAGGCGUGAUGACGAGGCACUACGGUGCUGAAGCAACAAAUGCCCUGCUUCCAGGAAAAGCCUCUAAGCAUCAGGUAACAUCAAAUCGUACCCCAAACCGACACAGGUGGUCAGGUAGAGAAUACCAAGGCGCUUGAGAGAACUCGGGUGAAGGAACUAGGCAAAAUGGUGCCGUAACUUCGGGAGAAGGCACGCUGAUAUGUAGGUGAAGUCCCUCGCGGAUGGAGCUGAAAUCAGUCGAAGAUACCAGCUGGCUGCAACUGUUUAUUAAAAACACAGCACUGUGCAAACACGAAAGUGGACGUAUACGGUGUGACGCCUGCCCGGUGCCGGAAGGUUAAUUGAUGGGGUUAGCGCAAGCGAAGCUCUUGAUCGAAGCCCCGGUAAACGGCGGCCGUAACUAUAACGGUCCUAAGGUAGCGAAAUUCCUUGUCGGGUAAGUUCCGACCUGCACGAAUGGCGUAAUGAUGGCCAGGCUGUCUCCACCCGAGACUCAGUGAAAUUGAACUCGCUGUGAAGAUGCAGUGUACCCGCGGCAAGACGGAAAGACCCCGUGAACCUUUACUAUAGCUUGACACUGAACAUUGAGCCUUGAUGUGUAGGAUAGGUGGGAGGCUUUGAAGUGUGGACGCCAGUCUGCAUGGAGCCGACCUUGAAAUACCACCCUUUAAUGUUUGAUGUUCUAACGUUGGCCCCUAAUCGGGGUUGCGGACAGUGUCUGGUGGGUAGUUUGACUGGGGCGGUCUCCUCCUAAAGAGUAACGGAGGAGCACGAAGGUUGGCUAAUCCUGGUCGGACAUCAGGAGGUUAGUGCAAUGGCAUAAGCCAGCUUGACUGCGAGCGUGACGGCGCGAGCAGGUGCGAAAGCAGGUCAUAGUGAUCCGGUGGUUCUGAAUGGAAGGGCCAUCGCUCAACGGAUAAAAGGUACUCCGGGGAUAACAGGCUGAUACCGCCCAAGAGUUCAUAUCGACGGCGGUGUUUGGCACCUCGAUGUCGGCUCAUCACAUCCUGGGGCUGAAGUAGGUCCCAAGGGUAUGGCUGUUCGCCAUUUAAAGUGGUACGCGAGCUGGGUUUAGAACGUCGUGAGACAGUUCGGUCCCUAUCUGCCGUGGGCGCUGGAGAACUGAGGGGGGCUGCUCCUAGUACGAGAGGACCGGAGUGGACGCAUCACUGGUGUUCGGGUUGUCAUGCCAAUGGCACUGCCCGGUAGCUAAAUGCGGAAGAGAUAAGUGCUGAAAGCAUCUAAGCACGAAACUUGCCCCGAGAUGAGUUCUCCCUGACCCUUUAAGGGUCCUGAAGGAACGUUGAAGACGACGACGUUGAUAGGCCGGGUGUGUAAGCGCAGCGAUGCGUUGAGCUAACCGGUACUAAUGAACCGUGAGGCUUAACCUUACAACGCCGAAGCUGUU
rnacentral:rRNA from 1 species